CAAACCUUUCAAAAUACCUACAUUAACUAUAAAAAUUAGCUGACUGUUGACUGACUUGUUGGGACUUGUUGGGGGUGGUGGUCGGGCUGGUGGUUAUUUCAUCUCUGUCACAGUGCUAAGCUGAGAUGGAUCUAUCAUGAUGGCCAGAUCAUCACUCACUAAUAAUUAAUCAAAUGGUACAGUAAUGUGACACUUAAUCUCCAUUUGGCCCUCAGCUCUGCAUGGUGUGAGAACAUGAAGGCCUGACUUCUAUAUUUACAUCUGCAGGCUGUCUCUGCCUGGACAUCCAUAACAACAAACAGUGUCCGAGGCAGGCAACACAAACAAAUAAGAUUAAGAGACUUGGAGGACCGUGUCACUCUCUUCUCCCUCUAACUCCUCCCUUAACCCGCCUGGAGCACCUUCGGCCAUGGCAGGGGCGCUAAUCCACGGCCCUGGCAUUCCUCUCCGCUUUGCAGGACGCUUGUCAGCUCCCGGAGGUGCGGAUGCUUGGCUGUCAGAGCUACUUCAGAAUGGAUGGAUGGAAAGCUGAACCCAGCGAAGCUCACGUGUGAUCUGCCCAUGUAGUGCAAUGGAAAAACACAAUCAUUUUCAUACCUCUUUAUGUUCCCCUAAGAGUGGUCAGAUUCUGCUGCUAAGUGCCGGUCUACAUGGGACCGAGUAUGUGUUAAAGGCUAGCAGGAUAUGGUCUAGAUACAAGAAGUUGAACUGAGAAGUUGAACCAGAAAACUGGAUAGUGUUUAUGAUACAGGACACUGCUUUCCCCAGCAGUCUUUUCAAAGAAACAUGUGUGUACUUCUAUUUACUGUGAUGUUAUGAUUAUAAAGAUCCUAACCAUU